ACGACUAUAUGAGACAUGAUAACUUGUUGCCCAUUACACUGUUGGAAAAGGUAUAUUAAAACACAAACCAUCUAUAUCCAACAAUGGUGACCAGGUUUAUAAUGAGUUGAGACAACAACUACAAUAUCGUGACCAAGCUUAUGAUGAUCUCAAACAGUGAUUUGGAAUCUCCAAAGUUUGGUCAUGGAGAUUCUUGAGUCCUGAUGCACAACCUAUGGUACAGUCUCA
rnacentral:lncRNA from 1 species